rnacentral:ncRNA from 1 species
GCCGGACAAGUCCGGCGCGGAUCAAAAGGGAACCGGGUGAGAAUCCCGGACAGUUCCCGCUGCUGUAAGUUCCUACCGCAUUGCGGCACUCUUUGCCACUGGGCUCCGGCUCGGGAAGGCGCCGCUCCGGAACGAGUCAGAAGACCUGCCUGGGCCCU